GGAGGGCCCCUGCGGCCGGUGACUUCAUGGGAAGGAGGCGGCGGAGGCGGGAGGCACAUAAUACUCCAGAGCUUCAAAAUCAGAAGUAAAAUCAUUUGGACAGUUGCCACCUGCCCUCCUAAAUAGGAGGAAAGUGGGAUUAUCGGUGCCUGCCUCAUUUACUUCACCAAAAUGAGAUAGGGCAUGCAGGAGAGAAGGGAUAUUUUUGCAAGUGGAAGCUACAAUGAUUUCUCAGGGGACACAAUUUUGCUUAUUCAUACCUUUUACUGUGGCAAAAAUGGAGUAUUUUCCUUACCAAAAACCAGCAGCAUAACGCCUAUCAGACACUUGCCUCAAGGAAAUCUUAUCAAAAGUCUGUUCACAUUUUAUUCCUCUGUAGCUGUGGUACAAGCAAGAGCCAACCAAUAUCAUCUGUUCACAGUAGGGAAUGUCUGUGUUCAUCCUUACCCUUGGCAAAGUUGCAUCUGAGCCUGUGAGGAAGAGUUAACAGGAAUGAUCUAAUUCAUAUUUGAAGGUAAAUGUUGACCAAAGACAAAUAGAAUGGGAGUAAGAUCUGCACUUGUGCUUAAGUUGUGUAUUUAACUUGAUCCAGUUUUCUUUGCUUUGCACUGUUUCUACAACACUAUAGACAGUCUAGAAUAUGGAGAUCAUAGAAUUGUGGGAUUAUUUGAGUUGGAAGGGACCUUUAAGGGUCAUCUAGUCUAACUCCCCUGCAAUGAGCAGGGGAAUACCUUUAGCAUGACUGUUUUGGAUGCCAGCUACUCUCAAGGUGCCAGCUUUAAUUUCUCUUUCCUUAUUUUAUAAAGAUUAUGUUGAAAACUGGGUUUGACUUCUCUAGGAGAAAAAAAAAAGUAGAUACAAAACACAGUAAUAUCAUCUUGUACUCUCUCCCUUUCAAAACCAACCUUCUAAGUCAAUGUAAAGCAAGACUGCUUGCACAGAGGCACCAUGUCCUGUGCUGUCAUGGCACAGCUGGCUGGAACCAGCUCCACGGGCUGUGUCUGCAACGCCAUCUCCCCACAGAGUUCCGCUGCUGGCACCUGGGCACAGCCCUGUGUGGGGCUGCCUCAGUGCCAUGCUGGUGUUCACAGCUGGCAGCAGGCUGCUAAAACUGAGCCACUUGACCUUGGGAUGGGAAAUCUUGCUGUGAAGUGGGAAAAAGUCUGUGUUUUCCUCUUAAUGAUUAGCUGGUACUGCAUGAUGACAGCUUUAGGAAGCCCUGG
rnacentral:lncRNA from 1 species